UACGUAGGGUGCGAGCGUUGUCCGGAAUUACUGGGCGUAAAGAGCUCGUAGGUGGUUUGUCGCGUUGUUCGUGAAAACUCACAGCUUAACUGUGGGCGUGCGGGCGAUACGGGCAGACUGGAGUACUGCAGGGGAGACUGGAAUUCCUGGUGUAGCGGUGGAAAUGCGCAGAUAUCAGGAGGAACACCGGUGGCGAAGGCGGGUCUCUGG
rnacentral:rRNA from 1 species